CACGUAGGGCGCAAGCGUUGUCCGGAAUUAUUGGGCGUAAAGAGCGUGUAGGCGGUCCGGUAAGUCCGCUGUGAAAGUCGGGGGCUCAACCCUCGAAUGCCGGUGGAUACUGUCGGGCUAGAGUGCGGAAGAGGCGAGUGGAAUUCCUGGUGUAGCGGUGAAAUGCGCAGAUAUCAGGAGGAACACCUAUUGCGAAGGCAGCUCGCUGGGACGUAACUGACGCUGAGACGCGAAAGCGUGGGGGAGCAAACAGGG
rnacentral:rRNA from 1 species